AGGCAAAAGUGAUCUGGCUGCGACAUCUGUCACCCCACUGAUAGUCAGGGUUGAUUCGGCUGAUCUGGCUGGGUAGGUGGGUGUCCCCUUCCUCUCUCACCACUCCAUGUGCGUCCCUUCUGAAGCUGCAUGGCUGGUCGAAGAGGACGGUCUUUCCCAAAUAGAGACGGACCCGGUCUCCAGUUGAGCAGUUGUGCUCCCCUGCUAGAACCUCCAAACAAGCUCUCAAGUUCCAAGUCCAAGGCUUUAUCUGCUGUGCCUAGGUGAUGACAAAACAAAACAAAAUAAAACAAAUAACACCUAUGAAAAUCUGGACCUCUAAU
rnacentral:snRNA from 1 species